UAGGGAAUCUUCGGCAAUGGACGAAAGUCUGACCGAGCAACGCCGCGUGAGUGAAGAAGGUUUUCGGAUCGUAAAACUCUGUUGUUAGAGAAGAACAAGGACGUUAGUAACUGAACGUCCCCUGACGGUAUCUAACCAGAAAGCCACGGCUAACUACGUGCCAGCAGCCGCGGUAAUACGUAGGUGGCAAGCGUUGUCCGGAUUUAUUGGGCGUAAAGCGAGCGCAGGCGGUUUCUUAAGUCUGAUGUGAAAGCCCCCGGCUCAACCGGGGAGGGUCAUUGGAAACUGGGAGACUUGAGUGCAGAAGAGGAGAAUGGAAUUCCAUGUGUAGCGGUGAAAUGCGUAGAUAUAUGGAGGAACACCAGUGGCGAAGGCGGCUCUCUAGUCUGUAACUGACGCUGAGGCUCGAAAGCGUGGGGAGCAAACAGG
rnacentral:rRNA from 1 species